rnacentral:rRNA from 1 species
UACGGAGGGGGCUAGCGUUGUUCGGAAUUACUGGGCGUAAAGCGCGCGUAGGCGGCUUUGCAAGUUAGAGGUGAAAGCCCGGAGCUUAACUCCGGAACUGCCUUUAAAACUGCAUCGCUAGAAUCGUGGAGAGGUGAGUGGAAUUCCGAGUGUAGAGGUGAAAUUCGUAGAUAUUGGGAGGAACACCAGUGGCGAAGGCGGCUCACUGGACCGGUACUGACGCUGAUGCGCGAAAGCGUGGGGAGCAAACGGG